CUGGGUUAAGCAAAGGGAUAGAAGCUGGCCUGAGCAGCCAGUUGGGUCAGGAGACUGGCUUCACUGAAAUGAAGAGGCCACAGCCGGGAACAACGGGAGACCAGACCAAAGAAGAGACAAGGCCAUGGACAUCCUGAUGGAUGCCAGCAAGCGCACACGGUACCAGGUUCAACUCCCGGGGACAGCGAGCAGAUGGGAGGAGGGGGUGGCAACCGGACCAAAUUGCCUGCGAUUCCCCAGAAUCUACCUAAUGGAGACUGUCAGGGGCAUACCAGUAUAACGGGGGCUUGAAAAAGAAAGAUGGAACACUGACAAAAGGUGUGGCCGGGCUACGGUGUGUGGAUAAAAUGACCAGCCGUGUAGAUUCGGAGAAGCAGAGAACUUCUGCACCAGCUGGGCAGAGCGUGAGCAAACUACAGGCCUUGCAGAGAAACCCCUCACUGGUGGGAUGCCAGGUACAACAUGAUCCAAGAGAGGGGAUGUAGUAAUGACCAAGAUGGGUGCUAAGGGCAGCUGCUGAGGAACCACACACCACUGCACAUUGGAGAGAAAUCUGGAGUUUUCUGGCCUCCAUGAAGAUGUGGAUAGCUGCAAGACAAGGAGAGACCUAUGUUCUAAAUAAGAAAGCCCUGAGUGUGACCCUCUUGUCACCAGAGGCCAUGGCCAGGACCAGGGUGUGGGCGGCGGAUGCCACUACGGUGCCCAUGGACAGCACAGUGGAGGCUCGGAAGGACCAGGGAUAUUUGAGCAACAUCACCGCACCCAGACACCAUCCUGGGAAGGGGCAGAAGGGACCCCUGCAAGCUGUUUGGAAUUUGAGCUUUGAACUGACUGCUUUAUCUACAGGAGUUCUGAAAAAAAAAAGAGGUUAAGUUGCCACUAAUCAUCCCAAUAUCACCCCAUCCCUGCUGUCAGCAGA